AACGGCCGUACCAUGCUGAAUAUACCGGUUCUCGUUAGAUCACCGAAGUUAAGCAUCAUUGGGCGCGGUCAGUACUUGGGUGGGGGACCACCUGGGAACACUGCGUGCCGUU
rnacentral:rRNA from 1 species